rnacentral:rRNA from 1 species
CAGCAGCCGCGGUAAUACAGAGGGUGCGAGCGUUAAUCGGAUUUACUGGGCGUAAAGCGUGCGUAGGCGGCUUCUUAAGUCGGAUGUGAAAUCCCCGAGCUUAACUUGGGAAUUGCAUUCGAUACUGGUUAGCUAGAGUGUGGGAGAGGAUGGUAGAAUUCCAGGUGUAGCGGUGAAAUGCGUAGAGAUCUGGAGGAAUACCGAUGGCGAAGGCAGCCAUCUGGCCUAACACUGACGCUGAGGUACGAAAGCAUGGGGAGCAAACAGGAUUAGAUACCCGCGUAGUCCCUGUCUCUUAUAC